AUCACUUCAUGGUCUUGGCUAAAAUCAAGAGCCAUAUUUGUUCUUGUCAGUUUAAUAUCUGCUACGUCCUCUAUCCAAGGACAAUAUGUGAAAUGGAUUUGGGGGACCCGGAAAUGGAAUAGGAGUUUGCUUCAUGCAUUCCAUGAAUCCACCUGAUAUUGCAAAACCUCCAAGAUGGCGCGCCUACU